rnacentral:rRNA from 1 species
GGGUUGUGAGGUUAAGCGACUAAGCGUACACGGUGGAUGCCCUGGCAGUCAGAGGCGAUGAAGGACGUGCUAAUCUGCGAUAAGCGCCGGUAAGGUGAUAUGAACCGUUAUAACCGGCGAUUUCCGAAUGGGGAAACCCAGUGUGACUCGUCACACUAUCAUUAACUGAAUCCAUAGGUUAAUGAGGCGAACCGGGGGAACUGAAACAUCUAAGUACCCCGAGGAAAAGAAAUCAACCGAGAUUCCCCCAGUAGCGGCGAGCGAACGGGGAGGAGCCCAGAGCCUGAAUCAGCAUGUGUGUUAGUGGAAGCGUCUGGAAAGGCGCGCGAUACAGGGUGACAGCCCCGUACACAAAAGCGCAUGUGCUGUGAGCUCGAUGAGUAGGGCGGGACACGUGGUAUCCUGUCUGAAUAUGGGGGGACCAUCCUCCAAGGCUAAAUACUCCUGACUGACCGAUAGUGAACCAGUACCGUGAGGGAAAGGCGAAAAGAACCCCGGCGAGGGGAGUGAAAAAGAACCUGAAACCGUGUACGUACAAGCAGUGGGAGCACAGGUUUACCUGUGUGACUGCGUACCUUUUGUAUAAUGGGUCAGCGACUUAUAUUCUGUAGCAAGGUUAACCGCAUAGGGGAGCCGCAGGGAAACCGAGUCUUAACCGGGCGUUAAGUUGCAGGGUAUAGACCCGAAACCCGGUGAUCUAGCCAUGGGCAGGUUGAAGGUUGGGUAACACUAACUGGAGGACCGAACCGACUAAUGUUGAAAAAUUAGCGGAUGACCUGUGGCUGGGGGUGAAAGGCCAAUCAAACCGGGAGAUAGCUGGUUCUCCCCGAAAGCUAUUUAGGUAGCGCCUCGUGAAUUCAUCUCCGGGGGUAGAGCACUGUUUCGGCUAGGGGGUCAUCCCGACUUACCAACCCGAUGCAAACUGCGAAUACCGGAGAAUGUUAUCACGGGAGACACACGGCGGGUGCUAACGUCCGUCGUGAAGAGGGAAACAACCCAGACCGCCAGCUAAGGUCCCAAAGUCAUGGUUAAGUGGGAAACGAUGUGGGAAGGCCCAGACAGCCAGGAUGUUGGCUUAGAAGCAGCCAUCAUUUAAAGAAAGCGUAAUAGCUCACUGGUCGAGUCGGCCUGCGCGGAAGAUGUAACGGGGCUAAACCAUGCACCGAAGCUGCGGCAGCGAACGUAUCACCCAAGACAACUUUGCGGAGUUGACGAUUGACGGAGCGAAGCGACGUCAAAGCGUUCAUUAAAGUCGAGUUGGCUUAGGGAUACGUUCGUUGGGUAGGGGAGCGUUCUGUAAGCCUGUGAAGGUGUGCUGUGAGGCAUGCUGGAGGUAUCAGAAGUGCGAAUGCUGACAUAAGUAACGAUAAAGCGGGUGAAAAGCCCGCUCGCCGGAAGACCAAGGGUUCCUGUCCAACGUUAAUCGGGGCAGGGUGAGUCGACCCCUAAGGCGAGGCCGAAAGGCGUAGUCGAUGGGAAACGGGUUAAUAUUCCCGUACUUGGUGUUACUGCGAAGGGGACGGAGAAGGCUAUGUUGGCCGGGCGACGGUUGUCCCGGUUUAAGCGUGUAGGCUGGUUUUCCGUGCAAAUCCGGAAAAUCAAGGCUGAGGCGUGACGACGAGGCACUACGGUGCUGAAGCAACAAAUGCCCUGCUUCCAGGAAAAGCCUCUAAGCAUCAGGUAACAUCAAAUCGUACCCCAAACCGACACAGGUGGUCAGGUAGAGAAUACCAAGGCGCUUGAGAGAACUCGGGUGAAGGAACUAGGCAAAAUGGUGCCGUAACUUCGGGAGAAGGCACGCUGACAUGUAGGUGAAGUGAUUUACUCAUGGAGCUGAAGUCAGUCGAAGAUACCAGCUGGCUGCAACUGUUUAUUAAAAACACAGCACUGUGCAAACACGAAAGUGGACGUAUACGGUGUGACGCCUGCCCGGUGCCGGAAGGUUAAUUGAUGGGGUCAGCGCAAGCGAAGCUCCUGAUCGAAGCCCCGGUAAACGGCGGCCGUAACUAUAACGGUCCUAAGGUAGCGAAAUUCCUUGUCGGGUAAGUUCCGACCUGCACGAAUGGCGUAAUGAUGGCCAGGCUGUCUCCACCCGAGACUCAGUGAAAUUGAACUCGCUGUGAAGAUGCAGUGUACCCGCGGCAAGACGGAAAGACCCCGUGAACCUUUACUAUAGCUUGACACUGAACAUUGAGCCUUGAUGUGUAGGAUAGGUGGGAGGCUUUGAAGCGUGGACGCCAGUCUGCGUGGAGCCGACCUUGAAAUACCACCCUUUAAUGUUUGAUGUUCUAACGUGGACCCGUUACCCGGGUUGCGGACAGUGUCUGGUGGGUAGUUUGACUGGGGCGGUCUCCUCCUAAAGAGUAACGGAGGAGCACGAAGGUUGGCUAAUCCUGGUCGGACAUCAGGAGGUUAGUGCAAUGGCAUAAGCCAGCUUGACUGCGAGCGUGACGGCGCGAGCAGGUGCGAAAGCAGGUCAUAGUGAUCCGGUGGUUCUGAAUGGAAGGGCCAUCGCUCAACGGAUAAAAGGUACUCCGGGGAUAACAGGCUGAUACCGCCCAAGAGUUCAUAUCGACGGCGGUGUUUGGCACCUCGAUGUCGGCUCAUCACAUCCUGGGGCUGAAGUAGGUCCCAAGGGUAUGGCUGUUCGCCAUUUAAAGUGGUACGCGAGCUGGGUUUAGAACGUCGUGAGACAGUUCGGUCCCUAUCUGCCGUGGGCGCUGGAGAACUGAGGGGGGCUGCUCCUAGUACGAGAGGACCGGAGUGGACGCAUCACUGGUGUUCGGGUUGUCAUGCCAAUGGCACUGCCCGGUAGCUAAAUGCGGAAGAGAUAAGUGCUGAAAGCAUCUAAGCACGAAACUUGCCCCGAGAUGAGUUCUCCCUGAGACUUUAGGUCUCCUGAAGGAACGUUGAAGACGACGACGUUGAUAGGCCGGGUGUGUAAGCGCAGCGAUGCGUUGAGCUAACCGGUACUAAUGAACCGUGAGGCUUAACCUUACAACGCCGAAG